CGGAUGGGCAAGGAGGACAUAGUCUUAGGGAUGCGGCGCUGCAGGCCUUGAAAGGUGGAAUCAGAUGUGUGGCACCAUCUCAAAAGAGCUUUCUGGAUGGAAACCCAUGUGGAAAGGUGCAGGACCAGCAGCAGCAGCAGCUUCCUGCACUUGAGGAAUCAGUGGGUGUCCUAAGCAGGCUCUUUCCCAUAGCCUGCCCACUAGAGACCUAGUCCAGCUCAAAGCUAACACAGCUGAAAUCAUAGAUUCAGCCCUGCUGAAGCUGCUGCUUAAGGCCUGGUGUCCUUCUCGACUCCGGUAUGCUCAUCGUACUUCACGUAGCCAACACGAAGGACAAACUGAUGGGUGGUUCUUCAGCAGUCAAGCAACAGAAUUGGAAGAUUCCCUGAGUCCUGAUGCUGCUCCACCCCACAUUAAGUCACGUGUGAGA